GCUCAACAGCUAGCCCCCCAAACCAAAAGCAAUUAACCACCAUUUAUAACCCCAAACACACUAGUGUUAAACUAAACAAAACAUUUUUCCACCUCAGUACGGGCGACGGAAGAGGUACAAACGGCGCAAUAGAGAAAGUACCGCAAGGGAACGCUGAAAGAGAAGUGAAACAACCCAGUAAAGCCCCGAAAAGCAGAGAUUCUAACUCGUACCUUUUGCAUCAUGAUUUAGCUAGUAAUAUCCAGGCAAAGGGAACUUUAGUCUGAUCCCCCGAAACUAAGUGAGCUACUCCAAGGCAGCCUAUUAAUAGGGCACACCCGUCUCUGUGGCAAAAGAGUGGGAAGAACUUUGAGUAGAGGUGACAGACCUACCGAACUUAGUUAUAGCUGGUUGUCUGAGAAAUGAAUAGGAGUUCAGCCUCGCGGCUUCUUCACUCACCCCUGUCCUACUCCCUACAGACCCUUGAGAAACCGCGAGAGUUAAUUAAAGGGGGUACAGCCCCUUUGAAAAAGACACAACUUUACCAGGUGGGUAAAGAUCAUAAUAACUUAAAGUAAAAUGCUUUGGUGGGCCUAAAAGCAGCCAUCCCCUUAGAAAGCGUUAAAGCUCAGGCAUACCAUUUACCUCAUUAUUCUGAUAAUUUAUCUUAGCCCCCUAAUUUUACCGGACCGCCCCAUGCAACCAUGGGAGAGACCAUGCUAAUAUGAGUAAUAAGAGGGCCAGACCCUCUCCCUGCACACGUGUAAGUCGGAACAGACUAACCACCGAAUCCUAACGGCCCCAAAUAAAGAGGGUAAUGAAUGACAGACUAAACAACAAGAAGAGUCUUCAAUUUUUAACCGUUAGCCCCACACUGGUGUGCCCCUAGGGAAAGACUAAAAGAAAGAGAAGGAACUCGGCAAACACAUGAAGCCUCGCCUGUUUACCAAAAACAUCGCCUCUUGCAAAUAAAGAAUAAGAGGUCCCGCCUGCCCUGUGACUAUAAGUUUAACGGCCGCGGUAUUUUGACCGUGCGAAGGUAGCGCAAUCACUUGUCUUUUAAAUGAAGACCUGUAUGAAUGGCACAACGAGGGCUUAGCUGUCUCCUUUUUCAAGUCAAUGAAAUUGAUCUCCCCGUGCAGAAGCGGGGAUAAAGCCAUAAGACGAGAAGACCCUGUGGAGCUUUAGACACCAAGGUAAGUCAUGUUAAACAUCCCGGAACAAAGGGCUAAACCAAAUGAAAAUUAUCUCUAUGUCUUUGGUUGGGGCGACCGCGGGGAAACACAAAACCCCCACGUGGAAUGGGACUACUCCCUCCUACAACUCAGAGCCUCCGCUCUAAUGAACAGAAUUUCUGACCAGCAAGAUCCGGCAACGCCGAUCGACGAACCGAGUUACCCCAGGGAUAACAGCGCAAUCCCCUUUUAGAGUCCAUAUCGACAAGGGGGUUUACGACCUCGAUGUUGGAUCAGGACAUCCUAAUGGUGCAGCCGCUAUUAAGGGUUCGUUUGUUCAACGAUUAAAGUCCUACGUGAUCUGAGUUCAGACCGGAGUAAUCCAGGUCAGUUUCUAUCUAUGCUAUGAUUUUUUCUAGUACGAAAGGACCGAAAAAAAGAGGCCCAUGCUUCAAGUAUGCCUCACCCCCACCUAAUGAAGACAACUAAAAUAGGCAAAAGGGCUUGCCCCCCUUUGCCUGAGAUUAAGGCA
rnacentral:rRNA from 1 species